UAUAUAUACAUGUAAUUGUUGUACAGUGGGUUCCUCCCACGGGUGUGAUGUGUGACUGCCAUUGCACUGUAGUUGCUGUUUUAUGCUAGUACCCACAAUAGUUACUAGUCAUCGGAUACCGUUGUAUAUCUUCAUACCAGAAUAGUAAU